rnacentral:tRNA from 1 species
GGCAGUGUAGUCCAGUGGGUAGGGCACUUGCUUGGACACAGGUGAUCUGGGCUUUAUUCCUAGCUCUGCUG